rnacentral:lncRNA from 1 species
AAAAAAUCAGAAAUACUCCCCCCAUCCUCAUUUUCCUCUGCUAGGGUUUAAAACCCAUCAUCGCUGCCACCACCUCGACGCCACCGUGGGCAGUGGUUGACGUUGUACGAAAAGGGAAUUUUUAGCCCCGGUUUAAAGCGCCCGAAGGCCGUGUUCUCUUGGCCCUAGCUCGAGAGAAGAGCCCCUUUUCUUCCCCUUUGGGAAUCGAUUUCAACAACGGAGCAGGGGCUCCGACGACACUACUCUGAGGUUCAGGUAAGUCCUCUUUUCUCUUCCCUUUUUUAUUUUUUAUUUUAAAAACUGAUUUAAGAACAAAAAAUAAAAAUAAAAAAACGAGAGAAUGAAAUUCAACCUUUUUUUUUGCUUAAUCGUGUGUCUUUUUUUUACAAUAUUUCACCUUUUUGGCUUCUUAUAGCCGAAAACAAAAAAUUUAAAUCUAUUGUUUGCUAUUGUUUUGGCUUUGUUUUCUCUGCUUUUUGCUAUUUUCCUUUUUCUGCCAUGUUUGCAGGUCCAUGGAAGGUCAACGAACGAGGGAGUUUCCACUUCCAUGCAAGGAGAGUCGACCCUCGGGCGAAGUGCGCGCUGAGGCACGUGGGUGGUGGCUGCGGCGAGAGGGAAGCUCAGAAACCCUAGGGUUUCUGAGUUGGUUUAAUGUUUUGGGCCUAUUGGGCCGAUAGAAAUUGGGUUGGGGUUUUGGGUUGUGUUUGGGCCAUUCGUAAAAUGGGCUUGUUGGAUUUUAAUUAUUUUUUUUUAUUUUUUUAUUUUGGUUUCUGGUUUAUGGGCCUCGGGCUAAAUUGGGCCUCUACACUAUAGUGAAAGAAUAUACCUCCUUUACUGCUAUGAUUUUUCACUUAACUAGAGAUUGAAAUUUUGACAUCAACCAUGUAGGUUAGAUAUAGAGCUCAAAAUGGGCUGGAUCGGGUCUCAACAUAAUUUUAUAUUGUCUUUUAAGUUCGGGCUCGGUUUGAUCUAAAAAAUAGGUUUAAAAUUUUUUCUAAUUUCGACUCGGAUAAAAAUGUUAAAACUUAAACCCAGCUUGCCCAUAUUAAUUUUUUAUAUUAUUAUUUUUAUAUAAAAAUAAAU